GACAGGAGGUGCAAGCGUUGUUCGGAAUUACUGGGCGUAAAGCGCGUGUAGGCGGCCAUCUAAGUCGGGCGUGAAAUCCCACGGCUCAACCGGUGGAAGUCGCACUCGAAACUGGAUGGCUAGAGUCCUGGAGAGGAAGGUGGGAAUGCUUGGUGGUAGAGGUGGAAAUUCGAUAGAUAUCAAGCGGAACACCGGUGGCG
rnacentral:rRNA from 1 species